GGUGGGGAGGCAAAGUUCUAAAAAUGGCUGUUCGGCGUCUGCGUUUGGUGAAAUCUUCUCUAGAGAAAAAAUUAAUUUUCUCUAAGAAAAUAGUAGAAAAAAUGGCUCCCGGAUGAUUCCCGGACAUGGACUACAAGGACCCUGAACUAUGAGUUGGAAGCUCUUUGAGGCGUCUUCAGCUGGAGGAAAUCUGUCAGAAAAAGCAGUCUUCUCAGAAAUUUGACGCAGCUAAUGGAAGAAGAAAUGUGAUUCCUGUUCGUUCUCAAGAAGAUCACGGA